ACCAGCACUAAUGCACCGGAU
rnacentral:snRNA from 1 species